rnacentral:rRNA from 1 species
UACAGAGGGGGCCAGCGUUAUUCGGAAUUAUUGGGCGUAAAGAGCUCGUAGGCGGUCUGUUGCGUCGGCUGUGAAAACCCGGGGCUCAACCCCGGGCCUGCAGCCGAUACGGGCAGACUAGAGUUCGGCAGGGGAGACUGGAAUUCCUGGUGUAGCGGUGAAAUGCGCAGAUAUCAGGAGGAACACCGGUGGCGAAGGCGGGUCUCUGGGCCGAUACUGACGCUGAGGAGCGAAAGCGUGGGGAGCGAACAGG